rnacentral:rRNA from 1 species
GAGGAAUAUUGCGCAAUGGAGGAAACUCUGACGCAGCAACGCCGCGUGGGUGAAGAAGGCUUUCGGGUUGUAAAGCCCUGUCAGGCGGGAAGAAACUUCCGCAGGUGAAUAGUCUGUGGCACUGACGGUACCGCCAAAGGAAGCACCGGCUAACUCCGUGCCAGCAGCCGCGGUAAGACGGAGGGUGCAAGCGUUGUUCGGAAUUACUGGGCGUACAGCGCGUGUAGGCGGUCCGAUAAGUCGAGUGUGAAAGCCCGAGGCCCAACCACGGAAAUGCAUUCGAAACUGUCGGUCUUGAGUACGGGAGAGGGAAGUGGAAUUCCUGGUGUAGAGGUGAAAUUCGUAGAUAUCAGGAGGAACACCCGUGGCGAAGGCGGCUUCCUGGACCGAUACUGACGCUGAGACGCGAAAGCGUGGGGAGCAAACA